AUUGAACGCUGGCGGCAUGCUUUACACAUGCAAGUCGAACGGUAACAGGCCGCAAGGUGCUGACGAGUGGCGAACGGGUGAGUAAUGCAUCGGAACGUGCCCAGUCGUGGGGGAUAACUACUCGAAAGAGUAGCUAAUACCGCAUACGAUCUAUGGAUGAAAGCGGGGGACCGUAAGGCCUCGCGCGAUUGGAGCGGCCGAUGUCAGAUUAGGUAGUUGGUGGGGUAAAGGCUCACCAAGCCAACGAUCUGUAGCUGGUCUGAGAGGACGACCAGCCACACUAGGACUGAGACACGGCCCAGACUCCUACGGGAGGCAGCAGUGGGGAAUUUUGGACAAAGGGCGCAAGCCUGAUCCAGCAAUGCCGCGUGCAGGAAGAAGGCCUUCGGGUUGUAAACUGCUUUUGUACGGAACGAAACGGCUCUGGUUAAUACCCGGGGCUAAUGACGGUACCGUAAGAAUAAGCACCGGCUAACUACGUG
rnacentral:rRNA from 1 species